rnacentral:rRNA from 1 species
CUACGUGCCAGCAGCCGCGGUAAUACGUAGGUCCCGAGCGUUAUCCGGAUUUAUUGGGCGUAAAGCGAGCGCAGGCGGUUAGAUAAGUCUGAAGUUAAAGGCUGUGGCUUAACCAUAGUACGCUUUGGAAACUGUUUAACUUGAGUGCAGAAGGGGAGAGUGGAAUUCCAUGUGUAGCGGUGAAAUGCGUAGAGAUCUGGAGGAAUACCGGUGGCGAAGGCGGCCCCCUGGACAAAGACUGACGCUCAGGUGCGAAAGCGUGGGGAGCAAACAGGAUUAGAUACCCUGGUAGUCCACGCCGUAAACGAUGUCGACUUGGAGGUUGUGCCCUUGAGGCGUGGUUUCCGGAGCUAACGCGUUAAGUCGACCGCCUGGGGAGUACGGCCGCAAGGUUAAAACUCAAAUGAAUUGACGGGGGCCCGCACAAGCGGUGGAGCAUGUGGUUUAAUUCGAUGCAACGCGAAGAACCUUACCUACUCUUGACAUCCAGA